UACGUAGGUGGCAAGCGUUAUCCGGAUUUAUUGGGCGUAAAGGGAACGCAGGCGGUCUUUUAAGUCUGAUGUGAAAGCCUUCGGCUUAACCGGAGUAGUGCAUUGGAAACUGGGAGACUUGAGUGCAGAAGAGGAGAGUGGAACUCCAUGUGUAGCGGUGAAAUGCGUAAAUAUAUGGAAGAACACCAGUGGCGAAAGCGGCUCUCUGGUCUGUAACUGACGCUGAGGUUCGAAAGCGUGGGUAGCAAACAGG
rnacentral:rRNA from 1 species